AAGCCCCGGUACCACCUCUGGUACUUCUUCAAAUUUGCAAUUUGAUGUGGAUCACCACUGGACU
rnacentral:tRNA from 1 species